ensembl:snRNA U6 U6 spliceosomal RNA
GUGUUCACUUCCACAGCACAUAUACUAAAAUCUGAAUGAUACAGAGAAGAUUUGCUUGGUUCCUGCUCAAGGAUGACAUGCUUUGGUGGCUGUUAUUU